AUUGAACGCUGGCGGCAGGCCUAACACAUGCGAGUCGAGCGGAUGAAGGGAGCUUGCUCCUGGAUUCAGCGGCGGACGGGUGAGUAAUGCCUAGGAAUCUGCCUGGUAGUGGGGGAUAACGUCCGGAAACGGGCGCUAAUACCGCAUACGUCCUGAGGGAGAAAGUGGGGGAUCUUCGGACCUCACGCUAUCAGAUGAGCCUAGGUCGGAUUAGCUAGUUGGUGGGGUAAAGGCCUACCAAGGCGACGAUCCGUAACUGGUCUGAGAGGAUGAUCAGUCACACUGGAACUGAGACACGGUCCAGACUCCUACGGGAGGCAGCAGUGGGGAAUAUUGGACAAUGGGCGAAAGCCUGAUCCAGCCAUGCCGCGUGUGUGAGGAAGGUCUUCGGAUUGUAAAGCACUUUAAGUUGGGAGGAAGGGCAGUAAGUUAAUACCUUGCUGUUUUGACGUUACCAACAGAAUAAGCACCGGCUAACUUCGUG
rnacentral:rRNA from 1 species